rnacentral:rRNA from 1 species
AUUGAACGCUGGCGGCGUGCUUAACACAUGCAAGUCGAGCGGUAACAGGUGUAGCAAUACAUGCUGACGAGCGGCGAACGGGUGAGUAAUGCUUCGGAAUCUUCCUCGUAGUGGGGAAUAACCUGGGGAAACUCAGGCUAAUACCGCAUACGAACUACGGUUGAGAGCAGGGGAUCGCAAGACCUUGCGCUAUGAGAUGAGCCGAAGUCGGAUUAGCUAGUUGGUGAGGUAAAGGCUCACCAAGGCGACGAUCCGUAGCUGGUCUGAGAGGACGACCAGCCACACUGGGACUGAGACACGGCCCAGACUCCUACGGGAGGCAGCAGUGGGGAAUAUUGGACAAUGGGGGCAACCCUGAUCCAGCGACGCCGCGUGUGUGAAGAAGGCCUGCGGGUUGUAAAGCACUUUUAGUGGGGAUGAAAAGCCAAGGGUUAAUACCCUUUGGUCUUGACCUAACCCAAAGAAAAAGCACCGGCUAACUCUGUGCCAGCCGCCGCGGUAA